UACACAGACACACACACACCAGUGGGUUUUGAUUGUGCGGGGCUAGAUGGAAGAGGAGCUCUGAUGCUGCCAUCUCUAAGUUAGGAAAGAUGCCGAAACCAUGGGCCCCGUUCAAGUAUGCCACCGAGCAACUCCUAUACACACCGUGACUCAACUGGAUGGUUUAGACGUGAAAGGAGACCAGCUCACAUCCUGCACUCUGGAGAAGUCAGACUCCAGAGUGGCAGCCCAUGCUGAAUCCUUAGCAUCCAGUGGAAGAGCAGAAGAUCUCCCAGUAAGUCAGUAUCUGGGAAAUGGACUACCAUCCUACCAUCAGGUGCAGAUGGGGAAAGAAGAGGGCAGGAACUUGUCUAAUUGGCUUCACCAAGAUCUCCAGAAAGAAAAACUUCCUUCUCUCUGCAUGCCGCGUCAGGAAGAGCAUCCCUGCUGCUGCAGUGAGGACACCAGCCCUCCCCUGCCAGUGUUGGUCUCCUUCGUACAGAGAGGUCUAGAAUAAUUUCUGCGCGGACACUGUGUAAUGCACGGCAGAAGCUAGCUGUACGACAGCGUGCACGGACUGCCAACAUUGCCAUGGAAACCUCCCCAAAAUAAAGACUUUCCCAGCCUUGCGAGAGCACACCUGCAAGAACAAGAAUUGCAGUUAGCCUUUUGCCCGUCAAAAGCAACUCUCCUUCGUUACUGGUGUCACCUAAGGACAUUUUUUAUGCUUGGUAUGAUUUGUUGUCUCAAAAUUUGUUGAAAGCAUCUAUUUAGAAUUUAUGCAAUUUGAAAUUUUGCCAAGGACUAACAACACAUAUCUGCUGCUAAUCAAUAGCUCUCUUUUUAAUUUACUAUCUCAGUUUCAAGAAGAAAAAUCCUUUACAGAUUGUAGACCUGAAACUGGAAGUCCCAUAUUAAAAAGAUGAAAUCAGCACUCAUCUCGGUGAGACAAAUACGUAUCAAAUGAAGUCCUGAUUUCUUAACAGAAAUCUUUCCACUGGCUUCGGUAAGACCUGGCUCCAACUUACGAAGAGACUUGCACAAAUUCAUCUGCCUCUUCCCAGCAGAGAGAUGGAGUAUAUUUACUAUUGAACAAUUGGCUACUAACUGAUCUGUUCAGAUGUUCAACAUUGCUGAUUUUAUACAUAUCCUUAUUUUAGUUGCAGAGCUAAAUUUUCAGCAACCCAAUCUGAAAUUUUAUGCUUGAAACUAAUUCUGUGCAGU